GGGGGGGGGGGUUUGGGGGGGGGGAGGGAAAGAAAUGGUGGUGGAUUUUAGGGCUUUGGGCGGAGAAAUGGAGGGUUUAGGAAGGGAAAAAGAUGAAGAAGUAGAAGAAGAAAGAUGGAGAGUUUCUUGCAUGGUGAUUUCACAUGGUUUAUUUUUUGGGAAAAUGGAGAAGUGGUGGUGAGGGAAUGUGUAUUGAUUGUAUCAGUGGUGUGGUGAGGAAGUGGGGAAGGGAUAAGGGGAUGAGCGAGAUGGCAUUUCUGGAUUUGCUGAUUUUGUGUUAUCUGAAAAUCCUUCGGGUAGAGGAAGAAUGGAUUGGAUAAUGUAUAUUAGGCCCAAUGGGCUCGGUUUAUUUGAUAGGUCCAAUUGAG
rnacentral:lncRNA from 1 species